GCACCCGUAGCUCAGUUGGAUAGAGUGCUUGACUACGAAUCAAGAGGUCAUAGGUUCGAAUCCUGUCGGGUGCACCA
rnacentral:tRNA from 2 species